GAUGAACGCUGGCGGCGUGCCUAAUACAUGCAAGUCGAGCGAACAGAUGAGGAGCUUGCUCCUCUGACGUUAGCGGCGGACGGGUGAGUAACACGUGGAUAACCUACCUAUAAGACUGGGAUAACUUCGGGAAACCGGAGCUAAUACCGGAUAAUAUAUUGAACCGCAUGGUUCAAUAGUGAAAGACGGUUUUGCUGUCACUUAUAGAUGGAUCCGCUCCGCAUUAGCUAGUUGGUAAGGUAACGGCUUACCAAGGCAACGAGGCGUAGCCGACCUGAGAGGGUGAACGGCCACACGGUAACUGAGACACGGUCCAGACUCCUACGGGAGGCAGCAGUAGGGAAUCUUCCGCAAUGGGCGAAAGCCUGACGGAGCAACGCCGCGUGAGUGAUGAAGGUCUUCGGAUCGUAAAACUCUGUUAUUAGGGAAGAACAAAUGUGUAAGUAACUAUGCACGUCUUGACGGUACCUAAUCAGAAAGCCACGGCUAACUACGUG
rnacentral:rRNA from 1 species